UUCUGGUUCUAACAGGAUUUAGAUUCCAUUCUGUUUGAGGUGUAGACUCUAAAAACUACCGACCAAACAAUUCCAUGAUUCCCAGCAAACCUCUGAACACGCUUUUCAUUGAGAAAAGUGGGAAACAAGAAGCUGGGAAGCCAUAGAAGUUCAGCAUUUCCUUGCCCCUAACAUGUCGUUGUGUUUCAUUCCUGUCUAAAUUGUUCAAUUAUUUCAUUGGACCGAAUCCUUCCUUAUCUUUCUUGAUGACAGACAUAUGCUCGAAACAAGCUUGCGUGACUUGGUUGUGUUGGUUACAGCUUACGAUAAUUUGAGUUUUGUCCGAGUGCCGAAAAUCUGUUGAAUAAAUCAACAUAUCGUGAAAAACUUACCUCGAACGUAUAAAUAAAUUGGCAACCAUUGGUCUUGGUCACAAGUUUAAGACGACUCAUUCAGAUUCUAGCCGGUACAAAAGUCCAAAACCCAAAAGGCCGAAGUGUAUCAGAAGUUCCAUACAUUACUCGGCCACUGACUAUCGGAGAGCUCCAGAUUCGAACUCACUUUGACAAGAGACUUAGAGAUGAAUGAAGCGGAAAAGGUGGUGUGCGUAACCGGAGCGUCUGGCUACGUAGCUUCAUGGCUUGUUAAGCUCUUGCUCCAACGUGGCUACACUGUCAAAGCCACUGUUCGUGACCCAAAUGACCCGAAGAAGACAGAACACUUACUUUCACUUGAUGGGGCUAAGGAAAGACUUCAUUUGUUCAAAGCAGAGUUAGUGGAUGAAGGAUGCUUUGACUCUGUAGUGGAUGGAUGCCAAGGUGUUUUCCAUACAGCCUCCCCUGUGUUCAUUUCUGCUGCUGACCCACAGGCAGAAAUAAUUGAUCCUGCGGUCAAGGGUACACUUAAUGUUCUUAAAUCAUGUGCAAAAGUUCCUUCAAUCAAGAGAGUUGUCAUUACAUCUUCCCUGGCUUCAGUUAUAUACAAUGGAAAACCUUUAACUCCCGAGGUGGUGGUUGAUGAGACUUGGUUUUCAGAUCCACGCCUGAGUGAGGAAAAUAAGGAAUGGUAUACGCUCUCAAAAACCUUGGCUGAGGAGGCUGCUUGGAGGUUUGCAAAAGAAAAUGGAAUUGAUUUGGUUUCAAUAAAUCCAGGACUGGUGUUUGGUCCUCUUUUGCAGCCAGCUCUAAAUUCUUCACCAUUGGUGAUUCUACACCUAGCAAAAGGAGAACACAUUUUCCCAACUUCAAGUUAUUAUAGAGUUGUUGACGUUCGAGAUGUUGCAUAUGCACAUAUUCAAGCAUUCGAGGUUCCUUCAGCUAGUGGCAGAUAUUGCCUGGUGGAAAGAGUUAUACAAUUUCCUGAGGUUCAGAAGAUCUUAUGUGAAAUUUACCCUACUAAUUUGCACUUUAAAGCAAAAUAUGAAGAUUAUCAUAACAAGCCUCUGGAGAGAACUUACCAGAUAUCCAAGGAGAAAGCAAAGGGUUUGGGUGUCAGCUUCAUUCCUUUCGAGGUGAGUCUGAAGGAAGCUAUCGAAAGCAUGAAGGAGAAGGGUUUCCUGUCCAUCUGAACUCUUCACUGUAAAAAUGCUCCUCGUUGUCGAAAUAAGUAACUACAGUUUGUUGUUUCCAUACACAUCACAUCUCAGUUAUAUAUAGUAUCUUCUGAACUAUCUCUGCCCCUUCUAUACUAGGAAAGACGUUGUCUUUUCAACUUGGGCUUUGCUUGUUCUGUUCUUUAAGGUGGAAGCAGUAGCUUUCUGUUAAAAAACUCAAAGUAAAGGAACCUUCACUCCACCGAUUUGCUCUGUGGCUUUGUCAUCUGUGCUAAAUCUAGUACUACUGCUUACAAAAAGUAAAUGUAGCCUCGCAAAAUUGAAGACAUCAGACAAGACAACAAAAAAAAAUUGGAAAAAAGAAGAAGGGAAAGACAGUUAAGACACCCCAAAUAAGAAAAGAAAAAUGGAAAACAUAAAGAGAACAAAACUGUUAGCAAAGCACAUCUUCCAGUUGCAGAUGUUUUAAGUGUUGGAGUGGCAAUAUACCCACGUGCCAUAAUUCAGAUUCCAUCCAUUACAAAAUUCUAAAAGCACCAGAGAACUUGUAACUGGUCUACUGAUAACUAUGUCACCGCUGGGUGCUGAAGUUGGAGCAUCGGGAAUCUAGCUGGAGAUGAGUAGUGCAGCAGAGAAGGUGGUGUGCGUAACCGGAGCGUCUGGUUACAUUGCUUCAUGGCUCGUUAAGCUCUUACUCCAACGUGGCUACACUGUCAAAGCCACUGUUCGUGACCCAAAUGAUCCGAAGAAGACAGAACACUUGCUUGCGCUUGAUGGAGCCAAGGAAAGACUUCAUUUGUUCAAAGCAGAGUUGGUCGAUGAAGGAUGCCAAGGCGUAUCCAAUUGCAAUGCUAAGGCAUAAAUUUACGUAAACGAGCUACUGUCUGACAUUAGAUGAUUGAAGGGCCAAAAAGUGUUUCAUCACAUAUAUAGAUUGCGGCUGAUACCCUUGGGAAGUUUGUUUGUCAAUGGAGUUCUUUAGACUGUGUUGCAUCUUGCUAUCAAUCUUGUACGGUGGCUGAAAAGGGAAUUCGCGGGAAAUGUUUUGGACUGAAGGAAGAAGAGUUUUUGAUGGUCGUUUAACCCUUUGGCUCAAGUCGUUUUUAUCCUUUUAUGUAUCAAGUAUUUUUACUAGCUAUUUUUACGUGUUAUUGUUUUACCAAAUGUUUUUUUUUAGAGCUUUACUUUAUACUGUACCGUUUUGAGGAGCUGUUAGUGUGAGUGUGCUGGCAUUGGAAAUGUAAGCACAGAUCCCUCUGCAUAAUUCUCUCUGAAAGCCAGGUGUCCUAACCCGGUUUGCUUAGUUGUUUAUUUCAUUUUCUUGUUGCAGCCGAUAUAUUUGGCUUCUUUUGUUAUCAAUGAAAUGUGUGGCAGAGCACUGCUUUGAAGAUAACUAAAUUUGUCUCUUUCCUCCCUCACGACCUUCAUCCUCUGUUCCUCAUUUUUCUUCAUUUUUUCCAGAAAUCAUCCAUUCUUCUACAGACUGUAAGCUGAGCUCGUUUCUUUUCUGCUAUUUUCUUGAACGGCUCGAACAGUGAUAACCCAUUCCACGUUAGAUAAGAAUGCGAUUGAGAACAGAUUAUCUCAAAGAAUUGUUUAGUUGCUUGAACUAGUGAUCGUCUUAAAGGGUUUACUUCUCUAUCCAGAAAAUUACUGGAUCGAUAAUGGAAUUCUCAUAAGAGUCAUGUUGGCUUUCAUUCAUGGCAGAUGUGAAGAUCUUAACAAGCCCCUUGAGCGAACUUACCGGAUAUCCAAGGAGAAAGCAGAGAGUUUGGGUGUCAGCUUCAUUCCUUUGGAGGUGAGUCUGAGGGAAACUAUUGAAAGCCUGAAGGAAAGGGUUUCUUAAGCAUCUGAAUUGUUACUUCAUUUUGAAUACUCCCUGUUGUAGGGACAUGUUAUUUCUAUGUACUGGAAUUGGAACUAUCUUAAGUACUUUUUACCACCAUAACUUGAAGAAUACUUUUUGGAGUCAAUAGCUACAUGGAGACUGGGUUCUGGUUCACGUUACCUGCAGCUGAUGAAGACAAGGAGCAUUAAGGCUCCUCUUUUUUAUCUUGUUUUCGGAAGUAAAGUGUAAUGUUUUCUGCACCUUGCCUACUGCCAGUCAUUGGACUGAAGUCAUUGACAUCCUUUUUGUCGAAAUAAUAACUACAGUUUGUUGUUUCUAUA